AAGCGUGUGAAUGCAAGUACUCCUUUCUCUCAUUGUUUGAGUGACUGCAGGUAUUGGUGUCUGCCUCUGAACGUGCGCGCGUGUGUGUGUGUGUCUGGGAGUGUGUGUGUUGGAGAGGGAAAGAGAUAAAAAGAGAGAGUGAGGCGAGCAGUGUUUCUUUUCCCCCUCUAGCCUCCCCGUCUCCCUGCUCCCUGUCACUCCGUUCUUCCUCCCUCCCGUACCACCCUGCCUCCAGUCGGAUAGACCCUGGACCUCCCCAGGACCCCCCUCCCAUCACCCCUUUGACUCUCCUCACUUCUCCGACCCGCUUUGUCAACUGAGCAGUUUUUCCAAGGAAUCCAAUAUAAACCUGAAGAGGAACAUAUUAUUGGACACUUAAACCAUUUGAAGUGGUCACCAAGGAAGCAUUGCUCAGGUAGAACGGCACUGGACAGACAGAAGUCUCCCCAGUCCUCUGGAAGGUUGACAGCACAAGGUCACAUGACCUGGAAGAGAAAACCCAGGAGACUUUUGGGAUCCCUUUUUGAAUGGGCCGGUUAUCAACCUGGAAACAAGUCUAAAGGCUGAUGAACUGAUCUGCACGGUCGUCCCCUCUGCUCUCUGCCAAACGGCUCCAUUAAUGCCCUGAGAACCCACGGCCUAGCGCAACUCUGGUGAGUAAGGCUACGCUAGCUCUUUUCUUUUCCUACAUGGUGCUCCGAAGAAGCUCUGUACUAAUACUACUAAUUGGAAUUGGAA
rnacentral:lncRNA from 1 species